AAUAUUGGACAAUGGGCGAAAGCCUGAUCCAGCCAUGCCUCGUGUGUGAAGAAGGUCUUCGGAAUGUAAGCACUUUAAGUUGGGAGGAAGGGCAGUACGUUAAUACCUUGCUGUUUUUACGUUACCGACAGAAUAAGCACUUGCUAACUUCGUGCAAGCAGCCUCGGUAAUACAAAGGGUGCAAGCGUUAAUCGGAAUUACUGGGCGUAAAGCGCGCGUAGGUGGUUCGUUAAGUUGGAAGUGAAAGCCCCGGGCUUAACCUGGGAAUUGCUUUCAAAACUGGCAAGCUAGAGUAUGGCAGAGGGUGGUGGAAUUUCCUGUGUAGCGGUGAAAUGCGUAGAUAUAGGAAGGAACACCAGUGGCGAAGGCGACCACCUGGGCUAAUACUGACACUGAGGUGCGAAAGCGUGGGGAGCAAACAGG
rnacentral:rRNA from 1 species